GAGCACCGACGACUGUGCAUCUCAAUUCGGAUCUGCUACGCUCAUGCAAGCUACCAUAAUAGCACCACCAAUGAAUUUCGAAGAGCCUUCUUGCAUUGCAUGGAGAAGUCGUUCUAUGUGCUGGAGUCCAUGAGUCCGGAACUCCUUAACAAGUACAGACUUAACGUGACGAAUCUCGUGAAAGCCGGAACAACAUGCGCAUUCAACUACAUACCUCGUGAUGAGAAGUACGCAUUGGCCAUCCUUGCAUACUUCUCGGAUUUUAUUUCAGGCUAAAUAGAAUCGGACUGAGAAUAAAGAGGCG